GAUGAACGCUGGCGGGGGGCCUAACACAUGCAAGUCGAGCGGAAGAGCCCCUGCGGGCACGUGUGAGCGGCGUACGGGCGCGUAAGUCGCGCGCAACUUACCUUCAUUUGGGUGAGAGCCUUUCGAAAGGAAGUUGAAUACCUCAUAAUAUAAUGAUCGGCAUCAAUUAUGAUUGAAAACUCCGGUGGGUAGUGAUGGGAACGCGCGAGAUUAGCUAGUUGGUGAGGUGACGGCUCACAAAGUCAAUGAUCUUUAGGGGUCCUGAGAGGGAGAGCACCCAGACUGGUACUGGGACACGGGCCAGAGUCCUACGGGAGGCAGCAGUGAGGAAUAGUGGACGGUGGGUUAGAGCCUGAUCCAGCCAUCCCGCGUGAAGGAUCACCGUCCUAUGGAUCGUAAACUUCUUUUGUACAGCGAUUCACCUACUCUCGUGAGGGUAGCUGACGGUACUGUGCGAAUAAGCACCGGCUAACUCCGUG
rnacentral:rRNA from 1 species